rnacentral:tRNA from 1 species
GUUCUUGUAGCUUACACAAAGCAUGGCACUGAAGAUGCCAAGACGGCUGCCACACGCACCCAAGAACA